UUUAGACACCAUCUUAAGUACAACGUCGUUUAUUUAUCUGCUGGCAUGUUUUUGACCCCUCUGACAAGAGCUAAAGUCUCUAAGGAAGCAUGUGCUGGAAUGGCUGUUUGGGUUUUAAGCUUCAGCCACCCUCUCUUCCUUUUCUCCCUUUUCUUCUCCGCUGUCUCCCCCGGCACAUAUCGAGCAGCUCUGGAAACUUGAAGGUAUCCGCUUGCCUGUCUCUGCGCAUGCUCAACAGCCUGUACUCUCGGUCAGGAGAAAAGCAAGGUCCGGGCCCCUGCCUCCACCUGCCCAGGAUCCCAGGUACACGGUGAAGGGAUGGCCAGGCCUACCAGGAAGCAGCACCAGGCGCAUUCCCAGACUCAGGAAGAAGCUGCCCACUGAUAGCCGAGGUUUAGGUUCUACCAUUUGAAGACCAGGCUUCCAACACAGGGACCCUUCAGAACAAGCAUAAACACAACAGCACAUGAAAAGGCGUUUGACAUCUUUAAAGCAGGAAGCAGGAAUCCAAUUACAGUGAGUCACCACUGGACACUGGCAUGACCUUGGCUGAGAUUAUCAGAGUCCACCGAUCCUGAGAAAGGUCCAGUGGGAGAAAAUCAAGAAGAUGUGGCUGAGGCAGAGCUCAGCGACAGACACCUGCCCAGAUGAUGGCGAAGGGUGAUCUUGGACAGUAUGCGCAGGGCAGGGCCCGCGUCCUGGUUCGUAGCAGCCUCCCGUGCAUUAGAAAAACCAUCUACUUUUGCCGACUGCUUUAGCACUGAAGACUGCUUUGGCAAUGAUAUAGCUGACUUUCCAUAAACUAAGUAAACUAAACCCACAGCUCCAGGGCUUUGAGACUGGACAAAAGCACUUAUCAAGAAAGAAAGCCAGCAGAGUUAUAUUCAGAUUCUCACUGGUUCAUUUUCCUAAUACUUGGAAUUCAACUGACCUGACUCAUGGAAGAGAGCCAGGUAAUCAAGAACCGCAUGGGAAGCCUCUGGUGAUAGACUUUUGGAGAGCGAGGAAAGAAAAGAUGACAAAGCAUCCACAGGGAGCAAGAUUUUCAGUCUUUACAGCUCGGGCUACAGAACAGGAUGCUAACCUUCACCUCAUCUUGGCAACAUCUUAGGAUCCUUGGACCAGCAGGGGAGGAAUCAUUCAUCCUGCUACGAGAUGCUUUCCAAUAAAAUUUCAUUUUUUCU